ACUCCAUUAACCUAAUUCAAGGUUCUUAGACUGAACUCUUGGAAGCAAAGAUUAGAAAUGUUAGGGGAUCUUUUACUUCAAGGAUUCAAAUUGGACUUCAAGAGCUACUGAAAGGUACUUCUUAUUCCAUCUUUCACUUCUGGGUUUUUGAACUACAAUUACUAAUGCUCAGAAAAAUUUGAGUUUAGGGUUUUCGUUUCUGCUCUGAGUGAUUCGUUGUAAAAUUGGAGAUUAGGGUUCUGAACCACAAAUUUUGGGGGGCUUACUUUUCAUUAGGUUAACUCUUAAAGAAUGGAAGAAGCAAGAAAUGCACCUUAUUAUAGUGGGCAAGAUAGAAUCAGUAGGUUGGCUGAUAACUUGAUUCAUCAGAUCCUGUCUUCUGUUGAUACUAAACACGCAGUUAAGACUAGUGUUUUGUCGAAAAGAUGGAUUCAUGUUUGGAAAUCAUUACCUUUUCUAAACUUCAUUAGGAGUUCGUUUUCACAUGAGAAUACUCAGAGGUUCAUAGAUUUUGUUUACAUGGUGUUCAUAUUUGGCGAUGACACUGAUAUUCAAAAGUUUAGUGUGGAUUGGGAGAACUCUGCAUCUGAUAAUAUGGUGAUAAUGAAUGUUAAUAGAUGGAGCCUUCAUGCCGUUAAGCAUGAUGUUCAAGAAAUAAGUAUAGUAAUUGAGGAAUUGCAUGAUUUGCCUUAUGAAAUUCCUUACCAACUCCUGGAUUGUAAGUCACUGAGAAAGCUGGUAAUAGAAGUGUUCGAGACUGCCGAAUAUUUACAUAUUAUUCUACCAAGAUCAAUGAAUUUACCUCAUCUUGAAGUACUGAGCUUAAAUAGAUCAUCAAUCUCCAAUGUAGAAUUAUCUAAAACACUCUUUUCAAGUUGUCCAGUUCUUAAAACAGUGCACUUAGUUGAUUGUGAGAUACAAACUGAUAAUCACGGGAAUUGUUGCUUCUCCCAUCCUUGAGAAGUUCGAGUAUUCUGAUAAUUGUCGUCGACCACUUUUGCCGCAAAAUGAUAACAUUAUCAAGCUAUGUGCUCCAAAUCUGAAAAACUUCACUUUCUGUUCUUUAAUGGCCCAAAAUUAUUCUCUAGAAAUAUGUAGUCCACUAUCCAGCGUAGUUUUUGGCAUGUUUCUCGAAGAGAGUGAAAAAAAAUGAGAAUGCGGAUAGAUAUUCGAAACUGCCUUCAACAGAAAAAACUGUCUAUGCUAAAUGUAUGAUGAAAUUUCUAGGAGCGGUUUAUGUGGUGAAAGAUAUGAAAUUUUCACCUGGAUUCCUUGAGUCAUGUUUUGCGGACGUUGGAGAUGACUGGGAAGCAGGAUUGUCAUCUCUGGAAAUGUUGUGUGGCCUCAAGUAUGUCCAGAUUGAAAAAGUGAAAGUAUGUGAUGCUGAUUGCUGAGAUCAAACCUCUGAGGUUUUUGUUGAAACAUGCAAAGUUUUUGGAGAAAGUUGUUUGGCGUUUUUCGUUCUUGUGGAUCACCUGAUAGAGCGAGCCAAGUUGCGCAAUUUAUGAAGAUGCUAAAAGCAAUUCCUGCAGCUUCUUCAAGUAUCAAAUGGUAUGCUCUUAGAACAUAGUAGGUGACAUUGUGAGCUUAUCACUAGAACCCGCAACAUAAAUUAGCGAGAUAAUCAGAUGUAUCAAACGAACAACGGAUAACUCCAUAUUCGGCUAGAAGCAAGACUUGCAACAGAUGCAUUGUGAGCACGACUUCCCUUCUGUUAUCAAGUAGUUCGUGUUUCCGCUUUUCGUGUUUCGUGCUUGAAUCCCAAAAUAAGUUUUCACUGUAUUCCAAGACAAUUCUCCCAUGGACUUAAAAAAGUACAUAAAAGUACAAGCAUUUUCAUUGAAUUUUUCAUUAACAAAAUAUUCAUGGGACUCAUCCAGAGGGAUAGAUACCCAAUGUUAAGUUCAAGUUAUCAAGUUUCUUUGAUUCUAA